AACAGGGGGAUCUUGCUGGAGAUCCCUGCGUACCCGAGGCCUUCCAAGGGGAAGGAGGUGGAAGUGCUCCUGGCUGCAGGGAAGCAUGCCAAAGUUGAUGGCGUGGUCAGGUGCAGCAGUGACAGAGCUUAGCAGGAGGAAGUGCUGCUUUCCGAUGGGCAUUGGAGCACAUGGAUCCUAAGCACAUGCGACAUGUUCACCACAGCUGGGAGCACUGCAAUGAGUACCGAAGGAAUUAUGCCCUAAGUGGAGUCUGAAACAUAAAUACCAGAGUGCUGUUCUUCAAAGAGAUUUCAGAGUGCUCGUCUGAGAAGCUUGCUGUUGCUGUGUUUCUCCCUGUACUGGAACCACUGGGGUUCUGUACUUCAGUUUUGGAAGGCCUGGAAGGGGUGCGUUUAGUCCAAGAGUAUGAGCGUGGUUUUUAUCAUUGUGAUUGCACUGUGCUGUUAGUGGUUUACUUAAAACAAAGACAGACACUCGCUGUGGUGCUGGCUGGCCAGCUGGAGCUAUCUGGAGUAUUUCAAGUAUUUCUAGGUUUUCACUGACGAGGAUAAGAACAUCUGUAGCUGUCUGUCCUUAAUGCUGCCUGCUUCUGGCUCAGCUCUUCCUCUUGGAAUUCCCAGGGUAUUUGGGAAUGCUGGCGUUGAGGGCAUGCAGUAAUGGCUCAUUGGCUACUUCCGACCCUGCGUCCUUGUAACAUGAGGUACUGCAGUGAAUGUGAUCAUUAAUAGAAGUAAAGUUAAACAUCAACGCAAAGAAAAGAGAAUCAGGGUCCAGGAAGACUACAUGUCUGUUUCAUUACAGGAUAUGCAUGUCUUCGUUCUACAGCAAUUUCUCAUCCAUUUAUUCGGUGCUCCAAUAUAUUCAGAGGACCACUAGUUCUUCUAAGAAGUUGAUUUUAUUCCACUAAAAAAGCUGCAGUUAAGGCUGCCCUACGCUUUGCUGAAGAUUGCAGUUGAUUCACACCGUGCUGCUGCUCUGGAUGGCUUAAGUUCGCUGUGGAAAGAACCGCGGAACUCCGCUCCGUGUCCCAGUCCUACGUGUGAGUGGUAGUUUUGUUGUAUCCCCAUUGGAUACGCUUAAAUCUGCUUAAACACGGCAUAUAUCAGUUGAGCUGAAAAAUGAAUUCUGAAUCAGUAAGCUCCUUUACGAGCAUUUACAAGGGAAUUGGGACAGGCUGAGCUGAAUGGAUCAUAAAGGACUGCUGCGAGGGAGGUGUGGGUUGUGCUGUGGCUCAGGCUGUAAUAUAAGACCACAUUCCUUUCCUGUGAGCUUUACUGUAUGACUGCUGCCAAGUCACAAGAGUCCAUAAAGGCACUCACAACCUGAUAGACACUUAAAUCCGUGGAGAGUAUCUGGAGGGGGAACACGCUGCCUGAUGGAAAGGAGCGUUCUCUCCAUUCAGCGUGAGAGUCCCAUCGCCUGCAAGCGUUUGUAUUUGGUAUUUAACAUCCCUGAGCUAGGUCUUGAAAAUAACUGCUCUUUCCAAAAAGCCCAUAUAACCCAUAAUGAGGUGAUGAAGAUAAUUUAUUUUGGAUGUUUUCCUAUUUAAAAAAUUCAACACAAUUAUUAUUACAGAGCAAGCAGAUAUCAAGCUUGGUAAUCUGGCUUGUAACACUUGUUUUUCUGUCUUCUUUUGGAGAAGGAGUGUUCUCUGUAUUUCAUUCUAGCUUCUGGCUUUCAUCACCAAAAGCACCGGAGCAGCCUGCACCGAAGCAGUGCCUGGGAGCACCACCACCUCUUGCAGCUGGGCUCCUUCUGUGGCAGCCUGCAGGGCCAGCGCGGGCGGCCCCGCUCAGCAUUCCCUUUUCUUGUUUGUCCCGGCUGUUGAGGGAGAAGGAACACACAGAAGUAAGAACAGGAAGCAGUUUCUGGAAUCACAGACAAAUUGCUGCUUGCAGUUCCCUUUGUACGUUUUCCAUGUAAUGACAGAAACUUCAGUUUUUCUUCUCUUGCUUUCAGACUGCAGUUUCAGCAACUUCGUCUUUCCUCUCCUGGGAAGAUUUGAAUGAAGAUGUAAAUGAUACAUAAACUCAUUGACACCGCACACGAGUCCAGAAGUGUAUAUUUAAUAGCACUCCCUAAAGCCAGCUGAGAAGCAGCUGUGCUCCUACACGUUCUGCACAGCUCAUCUUUGUCUCCAUGGCCAUCCAGCGAGUGUUGUGCUCACUUCCAGUUUAAGGUGCUUGUAAGGCCUUUGCAGAGGCAGGGGAGCACUCUGGGCAGGGCUGUUCCCAGCUUGGUGCAGCGCACGAGCUGGGAGCCACCUGUCUGCUCAGUGUUAGGUGCUCGGCGGCAUGCGAUCCUCGGCCUGCUGCAGGGACGGCCCCGCAACUCCGCAGCGCGUUUUUCCUGAGUAACUUGAAAAGUAUUUAAACUCAUUAGUAAUGUGCAUAAAACAGCUUGUUCUCCGCAGCAGCUCUGCUGGGCAAAGUUUCUGCUUUGGGUCCGGAAUCGCUUCUCUGGAAGGAUGUCUUUUUCAAGGUCGCAGUCACUUUUAGUUUGAUUUCAGUAUAAAAUUAGUCUAAUUUUGAAGCCAACUGAAAAGCAGUAGUAGUAUUUUGUCUAAGGGGACUUGUGUCAUAGAUAAAAAUUAUCUCAGAAGGCCAAAUGUACUGCUUAGGCUGAGUGCCUUAGCUGUUCUCCUUCAGACGGAGGCCUUUGGCAAAACGUCACUUUGUCUGUCCAUAUCUUUUCCCCCUCCUUUGAAAUCCAGACUUUUUUCUCUUUUGGGAUUCACUUCCUGGCUCAGGAAGUGUCUCUCUAUCCUUCUCUUUUUUCUCGUUAGUCAGUUAAAAGUGUUGUAUGAAUUCUCACACGUCUCACUCUGCUUCUUAACACACUGUUUAAGCUGAAGGUCUUAAUUUACUUUUGCAGUACUGCCUUCUACGUACCCCCUUCUCCUUUUUUUCUUCCUCACACCUGCACCUGUCAGUUCUUGAAUUCCAGUUGCCAGAACCUUCAUUUGCAGACCGUGCAGUAAAUGUGCUUUGUAAACUGCGCUUGUGCAGUUCUUUGCAGUGCUGAGCCCUGUGCAAGCACGCGAUUGUCUCACCGUGCUGGGGUUCAGGCAUGCUCCUCUGCUGCAGGAUGAAGCACUUUGGUGUGUUGCUGUAGGAGACCCGGUGCUGGCUCGGUGUUUGAAAGGAAACCCAGAUCCUGUGCUAUGGUGUUUCCUAAUUUCAUGCCCUCAGAAUGGAGCUGUGCAUGGACAGCUGGAGAUCUGCUUUGUAGAGGAGAUAAAUUAAGCAAGAGUGAGAAAUUAAGAAAGAGAGCUCUGGCAUUGCCAGUUCUGUUUCCUAUCGCAUCAGUGAUGCAGGAGAUGUAGCAGAAGUGGGGCUGGAUUAUGUGCUUCCCUGACCAAUCCUUAAUGUAAUGACUUCUGGGCCACUUCCAAAAUUACCUAAAUCAGAUAGGAUAUAAAAAAUCAAACAUUCGAGAAGAAAAAUGCAGUAAUAUGACAAUACCAAGGAAUCACAAAUUUUUGUUUGGUAUCCAUUUUCUGACGCAGACUUCCUCUUCGUUUUGUAGAAGUCACUCUAAAUACUUGAAUUUUCUUUCUCUCUGAUGAGAAACGAUGCCGAGUGGUGGUAGGAAUAACCAGCAGAUGGAGGCAGAGUUGGACUAUGAAAGAUGUAGAUGUAGUUCGCUGCCGUGUCAGGAGGCUUCCUCACUGGCCAUGGGCAUGUUGUUAAUGUGUUUGGGAUCUGGCGAUGAAGUGGGAAGAGCUGCAGAGGGCAGUGACAGAGCUGGAGCUCACCAGGUGGUAAGAUGAGGACUUCCAAGAGAUGCUUGAGUUGUGUCUGUGAUCCUUGUGCUUUUAGCGUAGAAUUUCUGCAUCUAAGUGCUGAGAUGUGCUUUGGGGUUUUCGUAGAAUGGCCUGGGUUGAAGAGGACCUCGAAGAUCAUUGAGUUUCAAUCCCCCUGCUGAGUGCGGGGUCUCCAACCUCCAGGCCAGGCUGCCCAGAGCCACGUCCAGCCUGGCCUUGAACACUUCCAGGGACAUUCAAGGGAUCCAAGGGAUCCACAACCUCCUUGGGCAACCUGUUCCAGUGCGUCACCACCCUCUGCAUGAAAAACUUCCUUCUAAUAUCUAACCUAAACCUUCCCUGUCUCAGUUUAAAACCGUUCCCCCUUGUCACUAUCCACCCAUGUAAACAGUUGUUCCCCCUCCUCUUUAUAUGCUCCCUUCAAGUAUUGGAAGGCCACAAGGAGGUCUCCCCGGAGCCUUCUCUUCUCCAAGCUAUACAAGCCCAGUUUUGUGUACUUGUUUUACAUAUGCAUCUGUAUAUACACAUAAAAAUGUGUAUAGUUUAUCAAAAUUAUUUUGUUAGAGCUAUAUGGAUUCUUAUGUAUUACAUAUUUAAUUUUAUUUGCUGUUAAUAGGAACUUAUCUUAGUUAAUAUAAGGAUGUUCUAGGGAAGCAAAUGAGAAUAAUUUCAAAAGGGUUUACCAAAGAAGAAAGAAAAUCAGUUCUGAAAAUGAUGGUGUAGUGGAUGAGAGAAUGGAUGGAUUUAACAAAAGCUUGAUCUGGGAUGUGGCCUUUCUUGUUUAAGUAUCUUUCAAGAAGCAGAGGUGUAAAGGGACUUUGAAGUUCUGUACAGUAGGUUAGGAAAUAAGCUACAGCCAAGGUGAAGGAGGAAAAAAGGGCUUAGAUAGUAUGAUAGAAAUUAUUUCUUAGUGAGAAGAUCGCUCAAAUGAUUGCUAGGAAGUAAGAACAGAAAUCUGACUGAAAAGGAAGUAGCUGUAGAAAAUUAUGCCUGAGCUUAAUGAAACUGUACUGCUGAAUUUCAGCACGUAUCAACAAACUGAAUCCUGAUGGUUAGGAUGUAUUUGAGUUAACUGGCAGGUUCAGAGUUGAAUUGGGAAUGCUCCUAUCAGCUAGAAAAUGAAAAUGCCACUUUUUCAGCAUGUUCAGGUAAGGAAUGAUCUUAUGAAUGCUGAUAUUGACCAAAAAGCAAUAAACUCCUUACACGUUACUUGGAGAGCUCCUUGUGCAUAGUACAACGCCAUGGAGAAGAACUGGUGAAAUGAGAGAGCGGCUUCUCGUGUAGCACCUCUGGGCAUUCCAUUGAACUCACGCUUAGUCAGGUCCCAAAAUCGCGGCCUUCUUGAAGUCAGUAAUAAAACUCCUGCAGCCUUUCAUGGAGCCGGGACCUCACCCGUUAUACGUGUGUUGAUGCAUAGUUUCCACUGAAGAAACUUCAGCCAAGAAGCUCAGUGAAGCGUGGAGUCUGAAUGUGGAGUACAAAUGGCAAACCUGAAUUUAAGGAGGAAAGGCGUACUUCAGUGUCAGCUCGUUAGAGAAAAACAGAUAGGAGCUUCCAUGCCUCACUCUCCGCAUCUCCUCAUUUUCUGAUUCUGUUGCUUUGGCAUUUGUAAAUUUCCAGCAUUUUUCAUGCAGUGAAGUGUGGUGUAUCUGGGUUAAUAGCUGUCUGUGUGCCUGAAUCAGGUUCAGCAUUUCUGACAGUCAGCCCAAUUUAGGUAAGCCAGUAAGUAGGGCGUAGGUAUUAAACCUGAGAGAUGCAGGGCUCAAAACUUCAGCCUCCAUGUAGGGCAGGUGUCCCUCUGCAGGACGGCAGCACGGAGCUGGGGUGGCCCUGGGCAGUCGUGCUGCAUGGGCUGCAGUGGGAGCGGGGCCGCCUGGCAGGCACGGCAGGAGGGAGGGGUCUGCUCCUGGGGUCACCCAUGCUGAACCGAGCCCCUGAGUUACUGCUGGUCAUUAAGGAAGAUGGUCAGAAAUGUAGCGGUUCUCUAGAUAGUUUUUCAUUAUUAUUAUUAUUUUUUACAGGAACAGAAUGUUCAUUGUUCCUUUUUUUCUUCCUUUUUUUUUUAACAAGGAAAAAGCGUUAGCUCUUUGGAAACAUGCCCACGGUAAUGACUGUCUCUUCCCUGUCACUUAUCCAGGUGUUCUCUGGGCAAUGUGCAGGCAAAGGAGAAAAAGAAGAAAAUAGCAUCGUUCAGCUUCAGAGAUGUGGUUGUGCAGGCUCCUAAGCUCUCUUUAGUUUCUAAUAGCAACCACAAAAUGUCUUCAGCUGUGGCAAGCGUUGCUUCAGUCCUAUUGUUUGGCAGUAUUUGAAGCACCUUAUCUUCCUGCUAGACUCUUUAAAUAGCAACAUCUUAUGAACUGCUUGUCAUCAGUUAAGAGUUUGUGUCUGCAUUUUUCAGAGACUGUUCUCCUAUGGAAGGGGCAUUGUUAGCAGUAAUGAGAUGAAAUUCACUUUCAGACAUGUAAAUGGAAUCUUAAAACUGGAAAAAUACUGUAUAGAAAUAAGUUGAGUGGACUCAAUUUUUGGUUUCACAGUUCUCUCUUCAAAUUCUGAUUCAUUGCACAUUAUCUGAACAAAGCUUAGAAGCAGCUGUGAAUUUUGGGAAGUUUGAUAACCUCCUGUAGAAAUAACCUCCCUGAGCAGCACACAGGCCUCGUCACUCAGGGCCUCAUUAUCUCCAUUGUAGUCUAUGCAAGCUUUCCUGGUGAAAGUAUUGUAGAUACAAAACUUGCUGGAAAGUAAAAAGUAACAAGAAAGAAGGCCAGAUAAUUAUAUCAAGGUAAGGCAUGGUUCUCGCAUCUAAAUUUAACUGCCCCCCCCCCAACUCGAUCAGGAUACUGGAAUCUCAGGUACUUCCUGCUGGAAGAUUCCCAGGCACUGCAGUGAAUGGUGGGCACCAGGCAGCUGCUGGAGAUGGUCUCUGGAUCCACUUCUGAUGCAGUGAACAAAUGCUGUCCGCAAAGAUUGCAGUUAAUUCACUGAGUUAAUUUUCAUCUGAAGUGUUAGUGAACUUGGCUUAUUUUAUGCUCGUGUAGACGAGCAAUAUGCGUAACUAUUGCAGGAGUCAAAGAGCUAGCACUGCCUCAGUUGUCACUCAAAUUUCAGCAGUACUCAUUCUUCCUUGCCCUUCUCCUGCUGCCCUGUUCCAAGCUGUGUGCCGCUUAUCAGUGAAAGUAGGAUCUUGCUUUAGCUGUGAUACUGCGUACGAUGAAAGCGUCAGUUAGCGCUGUGUCCCAUUCACUUGAGCUGACGCUGUGUGUGAAGGACCCCAAAGGCACAUUGAUGGCGCUGAAGGAACUCAGUCUGUUGCUUUUAGACAGCGUGCACAACUGAUGGUUACUGGGGGCUGCUUGGAGGCAGGGGAUAUGCAGGGAAGAAAUUUGCAGUGUGACUUAUUUUUUCAUAUGCAGUGGCUAAAAAAAACCCAGUCAGAAUGCCAUCAGUAACAGGUUCUUUAUUCCUACCGUGCAAUCUGUUUUUUCUCCGAAAGCUUUUUAAUGAAUGCUGCAAAGUACUAACCUUUGCUGAUUAUUGUAACAGCAAAAACAACUAAGAGGAAAGCGAGAAGAACCAAGGAGCAUUCCUUUUGCUGAUUGAUUUAUGGUUACAAUUUAGUUGAACAUUGUUCAGAAUGAAAUCUCUGUCUGUAGCUGUACUGAAAAGAGAGGGCAGGGAGGGGCAGGAGAGGAAGGCUGUGUCCCUUCCUGGGGGCUGCAAGUGCAGAAGCCUGUGCUGCUGGAGUGGCCUCUCCUGCGCAGUCGUCCUGCUUGUGAGCAAGAGGCACUGCUCCCUCGGUUGGGUUCACGUCCCUGCUAGAGCAGGGAGAACAACAGAAGUAUCUCACCAGUGGCCGGGCUGCAUCCAGUCCUUUGUGUUCGUGGUGUCCUCUGUCCCUGCUGUUGUUGUGAGGCAGUGAGAGCCCUAUUCAUUCACGUAUGCUAAUUAUGAUAGAGACUUGCACUAAUCUUCUGAGAACAGUUGGCUCUUUUUCAACUAACUGUAAACAGGCUGCCCGAAGUCAUGAGAAGAGUCUAAAAAGAAUGUUAUUGAUACCGAUAUUUCCUAGCUGCCAGUUAACGUGGCAGCGUGCAGCUGAGUGCAGAGGACAGAGCAGCCCUGGAGCCGGGCGAGGUGGGGCUGUGUGUCCCUGAGCUGUGGGGCACGGCUGCGCUGGGGCCUGCAUCUGCGGGACAGUACCCCCAGCAGCCUAACAUCUCCUCAUACCCCAGAAACAGCUGGGAGAGAGAACUGAUAAAGGUGCCGUGUAACAUGAAGAACGUGCUGAAUGAGAAGCUAACCAUCCACACGUGGUAUUGGAAGAACAUGGGGAGUAAGAACAACAUGGCAGCAGCUUUGUGCACUGCUUUGUGGUUUGGUAGCACAGAACCGGUCCUGUAAAGGCUCCAACCGCUGUCAGACUUUUGGAUGUAGAUUUUAACUUCAAGCUUACAGGUACGUGUGCAGUACUGAGCACAGGGAAGGGCCAGGGCCCCUCUGCUCUGAGCACGUGCACGAGGCGUCCCAGCUCACUCCGUGGUGCGCUGAGAUCUGUGGAGGAGGUGGUGAUGCUCAAAAGCGCACUCCUGGUUUGAAUGUGAGGAGGGAUGAAUAAGCUUUCAUUUUCCUUGGUAGAUUCUCGGGGAAUAGCCACAGUCACCAACUGAGUGUAUCUGUGUGUGUCCUGUCCUCACCUUCCAGGCAGCGGCUAUGACAAGCAGUCUUCUGGUGGUUAUUGGCACAUUUGGUGGCACCCACAUCCAGAAAUGCUUUCUGGUUUGGUGCACAUUCAUCACACCAGCUGUUUUCCAUACUGGCUAGGAGGUGGGGGAUUGACCUAGCUUUCACUGGAUGAUCACAGCCAUUAACGGGGCUGACUUGGUGGCCCCACGGACACGGUUGGGUGCUGCUCUCGCAGGUUUCGUCCCUCCGCGUGCAGUCUGUGCGGAGCCCUGCAGGUGAGCACGUUCAGCUUCGUUCACUCGAGUUUUCUGAGAAAAACACUAUACUGAUCUUACACUGAGACCUUACGUGGAAGGAGGUGUUAAUAACUACAUUUCAGUUUCCUUCUUUUAAAUUAUAUAGUCAAUUUUACUUUAUUACAGCUUCCAUUUUAUUGCGAGAGCCUAUUUCUUUAACACUGUGUAUGAAGUCAGGCACUGAGGUGGCCCUUCAGGAGCAAAAAUUGCCCUUGGGCUUGCAUCAUGUUUAAUAAGUACGUGUAACAGAGUAAUCUUGUAAAAGCCGAUUACCUCAAUUAUUAACAAUUAGGAUUUAUGAGUUAAGUGCUGCAACUGUGUCCUAUUUCUUGGCAAUUCCAUAUGGAAAGCUUAGAGAUAAUUUUAGAAAUAAUUCUGUGUGAAUUUUCUUUAAUUACUGCGUAAGGCUGGGAAACUCUACGUGACAAACGAGCAUUUUUGAAUAGGUAUUGUGCGCUCCGGUUGCACGAAGGCAGUGCGCCAAGGUGAAGUUUUGUCUCAGCGGUGAGACACGGUUUCAGCGUGCUUUGCUUCAUUUUGCUCUCACAAAGGUUCUGGUCUAACAUACAGAGAAGCAGCC